GAUGAACGCUGGCGGCGUGCUUAACACAUGCAAGUCGAACGGGGAACAUUUUAUGGAAGCUUCGGUGGAAAUAGCUUGUUCCUAGUGGCGGACGGGUGAGUAACGCGUGGGUAACCUGCCUCACACUGGUGGAUAACAGUCAGAAAUGACUGCUAAUACCGCAUAAGCGCACGGGAUUGCAUGAUCCAGUGUGAAAAACUCCGGUGGUGUGAGAUGGACCCGCGUUGGAUUAGCCAGUUGGCAGGGUAACGGCCUACCAAAGCGACGAUCCAUAGCCGGCCUGAGAGGGUGGACGGCCACAUUGGGACUGAGACACGGCCCAGACUCCUACGGGAGGCAGCAGUGGGGAAUAUUGCACAAUGGGGGAAACCCUGAUGCAGCGACGCCGCGUGAAGGAAGAAGUAUCUCGGUAUGUAAACUUCUAUCAGCAGGGAAGAAAAUGACGGUACCUGACUAAGAAGCCCCGGCUAACUACGUGCCAGCAGCCGCGGUAAUACGUAGGGGGCAAGCGUUAUCCGGAUUUACUGGGUGUAAAGGGAGCGUAGACGGAGCAGCAAGUCUGAUGUGAAAGGCGGGGGCUCAACCCCCGGACCGCAUUGGAAACUGUUGAUCUUGAGUACCGGAGAGGUAAGCGGAAUUCCUAGUGUAGCGGUGAAAUGCGUAGAUAUUAGGAGGAACACCAGUGGCGAAGGCGGCUUACUGGACGGUAACUGACGUUGAGGCUCGAAAGCGUGGGGAGCAAACAAGAUUAGAUACCCUGGUAGUCCACGCCGUAAACGAU
rnacentral:rRNA from 1 species